AAUCAAUAAUUAACAAUAAACGAUUUCAUAUUUCAAAUCCAUCGCGCCUUAUAAACAAGAUGUGAUGUAAGCUGGGCCAAACGUGGACCGUUGCCUUCCGAAUGCGCAGUAGCUAUCCUUGAGUGUCCAUAAGGGCCAUGGAAACUCAUCUUGCAUCAUUAUUAUUAAGGACCUGUUCGGUUUGAUGGGAGGUCGUCGGAGGUACCUCUGUACGUAAUUUUUCCUGACGUUACCUCUACACGACUAAAUUGCAGUUUGCAAGAACAGUAAACCUUAGUUAUAUUUUUCAAACAUAAAAUGUAUUGGCAAAAUAUACACAAUGAACGAUGUCCAGCAAGAAAUGUUAUAAAAUGUUGCCCAGUGUUAUCACGGAGCAUAACGUGUUUUUCUUUAAUAUUUAUUAGAAAUUAUUUGAUGAUUAA